rnacentral:rRNA from 1 species
UACGUAGGGGGCAAGCGUUGUCCGGAUUUAUUGGGCGUAAAGAGCGUGUAGGCGGCCUGGAAGGUCAGCUGUGAAAACUCGAGGCUCAACCUCGAGAGGUCGGUGGAAACCGUCUGGCUAGAGUCCGGAAGAGGAGAGUGGAAUUCCCGGUGUAGCGGUGAAAUGCGCAGAUAUCGGGAAGAACACCAGUGGCGAAGGCGACUACCUGGCCUGUUCUUGACGCUGAGGCGCGAAAGCUAGGGGAGCAAACGGG